AAGACCUUGCGCUUUUGGAGCGGCCGAUGCCUGAUUAGCUAGUUGGUGGGGUAAUGGCCUACCAAAGCUUCGAUCAGUAGCUGGUCUGAGAGGACGGCCAGCCACACUGGGACUGAGACACGGCCCAGACUCCUACGGGAGGCAGCAGUGGGGAAUUUUGGACAAUGGGCGCAAGCCUGAUCCAGCCAUGCCGCGUGAGUGAAGAAGGCCUUCGGGUUGUAAAGCUCUUUCAGCCGGGAAGAAAAGGUUGCGAUUAAUAAUCGCAAUUUAUGACGGUACCGGAAGAGGAAGCACCGGCUAACUACGUGCCAGCAGCCGCGGUAAUACGUAAGGUGCGAGCGUUAAUCGGAAUUACUGGGCGUAAAGGGUGCGCAGGCGGUUUUGUAAGUCAGAUGUGAAAUCCCCGGGCUUAACCUGGGAACU
rnacentral:rRNA from 1 species